CCUACGGGCGGCAGCAGUGAGGAAUAUUGGUCAAUGGCCGGAAGGCUGAACCAGCCAUGCCGCGUGAAGGUCAGUGCCCUAUGGGCGUUAAACUUCUUUUGUGCGGGAGCAAUAAUGGUCACGUGUGGCCAGACGAGAGUACCGUACGAAUAAGCAUCGGCUAACUCCGUGCCAGCAGCCGCGGUAAUACGGGGGAUGCAAGCGUUAUCCGGGUUUAUUGGGUUUAAAGGGUGCGUAGGCUGUGAGGUAAGUCAGCGGUGAAAUGCCCCCGCUCAACGGGGUGAAGUGCCAUUGAUACUGCCGUGCUGGAAUGCGGGUGACGUGGGAGGAAUGUGUGGUGUAGCGGUGAAAUGCAUAGAUAUCACACAGAACACCGAUUGCGAAGGCAUCUCACGGAUCCGCGAUUGACGCUGAUGCACGAAAGCGUGGGUAUCAAACAGGAUUAGAUACCCGUGUAGUC
rnacentral:rRNA from 1 species